rnacentral:misc_RNA from 1 species
GUGAAUCAUCGAAUCUUUGAACGCAUAUUGCACUCUUUGGUAUUCCGGAGAGUACGCCUGUUUGAGGGUAAUUAAAACGAAUCUCUAACCAAUUUUUUUUGGUCAAAGGAUAUGAGCUGUCCGCGUUUAUAGCGCUAGCUUGAAAUAACUGGUCAAGUAACAUUUUAGUCGAGACGCGUCAAUAUAUUAUUUCGCGAAAUCUUCGUUAUGUGACUAUCAAGUCUUGAUGCAUACACAUUUGCUUUGUCUGCUAUCAG